CCUACGGGUGGCAGCAGUGAGGAAUAUUGGUCAAUGGACGAGAGUCUGAACCAGCCAAGUAGCGUGAAGGAUGACUGCCCUAUGGGUUGUAAACUUCUUUUAUAUGGGAAUAAAAUGUUCCACGUGUGGGAUUUUGUAUGUACCAUAUGAAUAAGGAUCGGCUAACUCCGUGCCAGCAGCCGCGGUAAUACGGAGGAUCCGAGCGUUAUCCGGAUUUAUUGGGUUUAAAGGGAGCGUAGGUGGAUUGUUAAGUCAGUCGUGAAAGUUUGCGGCUCAACCGUAAAAUUGCAGUUGAAACUGGCAGUCUUGAGUACACUAGAGGUGGGCGGAAUUCGUGGUGUAGCGGUGAAAUGCUUAGAUAUCACGAAGAACUCCGAUUGCGAAGGCAGUUCACUGGACUGCAACUGACACUGAGGCUCGAAAGUGUGGGUAUCAAACAGGAUUAGAUACCCUUGUAGUC
rnacentral:rRNA from 1 species